AUGAACAGUAGACUUUGUGCACCGGUUACGAACGAUGAAAUAGAGCAAGCUCUUUUUAUGAUGCACCCUGAUAGAUCACCAGGCCCUGAUGGAUUUACCGCUGGCUUCUACAUCCGUCAUUGGAACAUUUUAAAAGACACGGUAUGUGAGGCAGUGAGGGAUUUCCUAGAAGGUGGUCAAAUGCCUGAGAUGGUUAAUUCCACGGUGUUGGUUCUCAUACCGAAGGUUAAAAACCCUCAACAUCUCAGUCAAUAUCGACCUAUUUCUUUAUGUAACGUGCUUUACAAGUUAGCAUCGAAGGUGUUAGCCUUGAGAUUGAGACCGUUACUGCAAGGAUUAAUCUUUGAAGAGCAGAGCGCUUUCGUUCCGGGCCGACUGAUUGCGGACAACGUACUCUUGGCAUAUGAGUUUAUCCAUUUUUUGAAGAGGAAGACAGGAAAAGCCAGGGCUUGUGCGGUGAAGCUUGAUAUGGCAAAAGCUUAUGAUCGUGUAGAAUGGUCAUACUUGAGAGAUAUCAUGAGCAAACUUGGCUUUGCAAAUGCAUGGAUUAAUAGAGUUAUGUCCUGUGUGGAAACAGUUUCUUUUUCAGUUAGGGUUAAUGGCAAUUACUCUGAAAUAUUCAAACCUUCGAAGGGUAUUAGGCAAGGUGAUCCAAUUUUUCCGUAUCUUUUUCUCCUAUUUGCAGAAGGCUUCUCUUGUAUGUUGAAGAAGUACGGAGCUGGACAUUUAUCUCGUGGAGUGAGAGUUGGUAUUCACUGUCCAUGGAUUUCUCACCUUCUUUUUGCAGAUGACUGUAUGGUAUUCACUCAGGCGACAACUGAAAGUGCUAAUAGAUUAGAAGAAGUUCUGGAAAGAUACCGUAUUAGAUCGGGCCAAAUGGUUAACAAACAGACAGCUAUACUUUUUAGCAGGAAUUCGGAUGACAAUAUGAAGGAGGCUAUCCAUCAAGGCACGGAGAUUACAGUUGAGGCACUAGUUGAGAAAUAUUUGGGUCUCCCUACAGCUUUGGGAAGGUCCACUGAUGAGAAUUUUCAACAUAUUUUGGCUACUAUUAAGAGACUUGUGGCGGGAUGGGCACCUAAACUUCUUAGUAGAGCUGGACGUGAGGUGCUUAUUAAGUCUAUAUGCCAAGCUAUCCCAACUUACUCGAUGAGCUGUUUCAAACUUUCCAAGAAGUUAUGUAAAAAGAUCACUGCAGCAGUGGCUCGGUUCUGGUGGGGAGGAGAUGAAACCAAAAGGAAAAUGCAUUGGUUUAAAUGGAAGGAUCUCGCUAUACCAAAGGUUUGUGGUGGUAUGGGGUUCAAAGAUCUUGUACUCUUCAAUAAAGCUAUGUUAGCAAAGCAAGGGUGGCGAUUGAUUUGUAAUCCCGACUCGUUGUGUGCUCAGGUCUUGAGAGGUAAAUAUUAUCAUGAAGGUAAUCUAUUGACAGCCGGAAAUAAGAGGAAUGCUUCUCAUACUUUGAGAGCGAUUUUGUAUGGUCGUGAAGCUCUAAAGUUGGGUCUAAUUAAAUGCAUUGGUGAUGGUGCAAGCACGAGAAUUUGGGAUGAUCCUUGGAUACCUUCAAACCCAACUUUAAAACCAAUUGUAAGGCUUCCUUCAUCGGAUGUUACCCUUGUGGAGGAAUUGAUGAACCCGGUUACGGGAGAAUGGGAUGAAGAAGUAUUGGAAACAAAUUUUGUUCCGGUCGAUGCCCAGGCUAUAAUGAGAAUUCCAACUGGGCGCCUUGAUGGAGACUUGUGGGGAUGGCAUUUGGAAAGGAACGGUAAUUUUUUCAGUCCUCUCUGCUUAUAG
rnacentral:rRNA from 1 species